AGGAAAGAAUUUCUUCUUAAUAUCUAACCUAAACCUACCCUCUCUCAGCUUAAAGCCAUUCCCCCUAGUCCAAUCACUCCACACCCUUGUAAAAGCUCCCUCUUCAGCUCUCUUGAAGCCCUUUUUGGUACUGGAAGGUGCUAUAAGAUCUCCCCAGAGCCUUCUCUUUCCUGGUUAUUUUGAUAUGCUUACAGUCCAGCUGGCUUUUCCCCCUGGACUGGCUUUCCAUCAGGAAGGCAGGCACACAUGAAGCUCCAUCAGCCAGCUUUUGCCUCCUGAAUUCUGUUCCUUGGGAAGCAUACAAAGGCCCAGGUUUCAGCAAUUAAGACAUUCAGAGCUGGUGUUGAAUUUCACCAGGAUUCUUGCUCCUGAACGACUUUGGGCAGCCCUUCGGCCUUCCUCCCUUGCACAAGCAGACCAGGCAAGAACAACAGGAACAUGAGAACCUGCAUGGGACAGGCUCCUUCAGUCUGAGCUCUCCGGACUUCAAAAGCCACACAGUGACAUUGACCGCAGGACAGACAGACAGGAAAUUCCACCAACCACAGCGGCUGCUGGCAUGAGGCUGCACUCCUGCCCCCUCAGCAGAUUCCUUCCUGCCUGUUUCUGAUUCACCACCACCAGCUGCUCACAUCUUCAUGCACUGUCCUGCCUGGUGGCCCUGUAAGCUGUUUCAGAGGAAGAGCUCCAUCCUGAACUUCAGUUAUUGUUUUUUCUUUUCCCUCUAGUCAGAUACUCUUUGUUUUGCAAAAAUUAUUGUAAAACUACUUCAUUUUUUAGCAACACAAUCAGCAGGAAUUGGAAGAUCCUGGUGGUAUGUGAUGUUUCCCAACAAGUGAGCAUUAGCUAUGUCUGAAUGGGGUCAGAUCUCACACCACAGGUGAUGCUCAUUGGGUACAUGAGAGAGCACAAGGCUUCAUCCAAAGAAGCCAAAGGAAAAACACUGCAAGCAGAGUAUGACUGGUCUCAGGUGCUGUAUUUCUUUCUCUUGGUUAUGGCCUAUCACAAUUGAUAUUUGGUAAUUUCUCAAGAAAAGAAAAUGACAUUUGGUUCAGGUUUAUUAAGUUCUAUGAAACUUUUGUCCUGGUGUGUAUACCUUCAUCUGUGUAUUUAAAAGAUCUUCUUUAUUAUCUAUGUACCUCAUGGAAGCACCAGUCAGGGUUUAGCUGAACUUCUUUUUCAACAUAAAUAUGACUUUCGAGCUCUGAGGCUCUUUCCCUCUCUGAGGUCACACAAGAUGGGCACCUGAAAGAUGCCUCAUUCCAGUCAAAGCCACCCAUCCCUAGGGAUGGCCAAGCACCUCACAGUGUUGUAGGCAGGAGAAAGGGCAGGAAGAAAACACCACCAAAACCCAGCUGUUGGUUUCACGCUGACCACAGAUGUGGGACUGGUAACUGAAGAAUAAUCCUUGUGGAAACGCGCUCACACCCUUUUUUGCUUCAGCAGUGGUGCCAGCUGCUGAGACUGUAUUUAGGAUUGAGCACAGAUUCUUUCAAACAAAUUUAUUUUAUCAAUUGUAUGCAUAUAUACAGACGUUUGCUGUAGGAUCAUAAAAACUUUUCAGCCUUCUCUCUACUAACUUUUCAAUCACUGCUGUGAGGCAACAUUUUUUUUUCCCUUAAUAGAGAAAGAUAUUAAAACACAGAUGAUGACCUUAGUGGAGAGCAUCUUUGCUACAUACAAGAUCCAAAGUAGAUCAAUAGUAAUGCCUCCAUGCUCAAAGCAAAGUUGGAGUUUGUGCUGCCUCGUUCAGAGAAGCCCCAGGUAACUUCUAUUACUGCAGAAAGGGAAGAGGAGGCAAGGUCUGAAGUCUGCUGCUGGGUAACAGGAAAACAAGCUGGAGCAGGCAUUAGAGGCAGUGGUGCUUGGUAAGGAGGGAAACAAACUUAAUGCAUAGAAAACACACACUUUCUCAGAACAAUACAACUCCUCACAUUACAGUAUUAUACCAUAUGUAUACCUCAGCCUAAAUUCCCUUUUCUGGCAGGAGCCAGGGUGAGGACAUGGCUUCAGAAAUCCUAAUGGAACCACAGAAACUGGCUGAGGAUUCCCAGCUUCAGUUCCCAAACAUAGGGACAUCACUUUCAGAAACACCAGGAAGCUGGACUGCCUUGUUGUCCUUUAUGUACUCAAUAGGAAUCUAAAGGAACCUCAUUUAUUUAUGUGAAAGGGACUUUGUUGGUUGCUGAAUUGCAAUGGGACAUGUGA